rnacentral:lncRNA from 12 species
GUGUGUAGGUGAUCCUUUUAUCUCACAGAAGCAGAUGGUGGAAGCAGGGUCCCCUUUGGCCACCGGACUGUUGGAUUCUCUGGCACGCGGUAAGUACUAAGGAAGUCCUAAAGUACUAAAUGGGGAGCAAGGGUUGGUGACAAACAGCUUGCUCCGACUUUGACAGUCUGCCUCACAAUCUCUUUGCCUGGGGGUUAGCUAGAGCCCUUUGGUUCUUUCUCUUCAUUCUAUUUGAGGCCUUGACCCUCUGCACUUCGUGGGCAGUUUUACGUGGUCAAAGUGUUAUUGGCUUCAGGCGAAAGCAAAGCUCAGCGAUAAGGGAGGUGCCUUUAAAAGCAGUGUGGCUGUUAGUGCUGCUGUGUCCCUGACCAGACCUGUGAAGUUUACAGGUGGCCUAGUAGCAUGGGUGCAGAAUCCGGGUACCGUGGCUUUUGGUGGACUGUGGGGAGCACACAUGCAACAGACAGAGGGGAGAAGACAAUAGAAGCUGGAGCCUCCAGGAAGCUGUGGAGACUCCCCGAUGGAGUAGUCUAG